CGUAGCGGUUACUCAAGGCGGGCAGUUCAAACCGAAGGAGGGAAACGCGGCGGCCCCACGCGAACGUGGCGUGGGGGUUGCCAUAGCCGGGCAUCCCUGGGGGCGAGGCGGCGGCUCCUGCCCGGCGCUCCCAGCGGCGGCUGCCUGUCUCCCCUCCCUCCUGGCCCCGCCGCCCGGUCGGUGCGGGUGCGUCUCGGUCUCCAGGUGGGCGGGAGUGGGGGGCCCAAGUGCGUGCGGGCUUCCGGGCGGCCCCGGGUCCGGCCCCACUUUGCUUUCCAGGUGCUGGGACUAGAGAGGUGCCCGGAAGCCGAUUUCUUACCGGCUCGUUCCGCUCCAGGGGACGCCCACCCACCCUCCGCCUUUCGGUGGCGUUCUGGGUCCUGGAGGCGGAGCCGAGGCGACCCCCAGUUCCCCCGCCAGCUGGGCCUUGGGAAGGUCCAGGAGGGACGAACGGGGCCAAAGGACGCCCUGGUGAGACCGUUAAGCCCCCACCCUCUGAUAGCAUCUUGGGGGAGUAAAGGACAGCGCUGCGGCUUCCACUGCAUUUUCAGAAAACCCGAAUUUGGGAAGGUUCCUCAGUUCCCAGACUAGCUGGAGAGGACAGGGAUAUUGAAAUUACCGUUAAUCUGGAAAGCUGAAAGAAACUCAGAAUGAUUUAGGCCUUUUCAUGUGUUAGGAAUAAUCCGUGCGGUAUGUACUUUACGUACCUUUCAAAUCUGAGCGGUCAUCACGCUGCUGCACGUUCCAAUUGUCCAAACUAGAGUUUUGAAUUGGUAAUACUUUGGCAUGAGUUUUAAAGGCAAAGUGAAAGAUUUUCUUGUUUGGAAACUCACCUAACUGACAUCUAAGAACUCAAGACUUACUGAUGAAACAGAUUUGAAGAUGUCAGAGAGACAUUCAAGUCAAGCUUGCCCUGGAGUGGGAAAUAAGGUGGACCGUCCUGCUGUCAAUUUCAAAUACUCCAGCUUCAGAGACUUUUGCUCCACAUCUUCAUUUCAAGAUAGUGGCUACAAUGAGCUCUUACAACCUUGCAACUUUGAGAAUACAGAUAAAGAAUUUUUUGGAGAGAAAGAAAAAGGCCCAACAUUAAUCCAUGAACAUCCUGAAACUUCAAAUCUGGGAUUAACUCAUACUUUAGAAUCUCCAACUCAAAAAAAGAGAUUUUUCUUUUCUAGGAAGGAGAAUGAUAAAACUCCAGAACUUUGUGAAACCCCUAAAGUCAGUGGAAAAAAACGUUUACUGCGUAGAAGGUUGGACAUAUCUUUCUCUCUCCUAAAGGGGGACUUUGAAUCACAAAAUAGUUCUCUAGAAAAUAGUAUAAGCCAGGUUCUCCACUUAGAAAAAAAUAUUCCAGGCAGUGCUUCAAGUUUUCCAAGACAAACCAGUUUUAGUCCUUUAGUUACUAGUUCUUUGAAAACAGAAGAAGCAACCUCCAGCAGUCAAAAAUUGAGACUUAAUUUUUCUCAACAGAAGACUUCCACAGUUGAUGAUUCCAAAGAUGACUGUAGCCUAUUUGAGGUUGAAUGUAUAUCUCCAAUUCAGGGUAAUAGUUUUAAAGACUCUAUCACACAUGACCUUAGUGAUAGCAGUCUAUUUAUUAAUGAUGAGAAUAUAUACCCCAAACUUCUGGGCUCCUCUGCUAGUGGAACAUCUUAUGGAACAAACGAGAACUUAUGUGUGACUCCAGUAAGUAGUCUUGUAGCAAACAUUAAAUUUAAUGCAAGUCAAAGGCUCUCUCCUACAGCUGAAGUGAAGGGCAAUAUUUCAACACCUGAAGAUAGUGGUUUUAACUCACUUUGUUUGGAUAAAUCGGAAGAUUCCCUCUCUGACCAGGAGGGUUCUUUCCGAGAACUUUGGAAACAAAAGGGAACGGUCAAAGUGGAGGACACCAUAAAAAAGUCAAGACAUCUUCGAAGGCUGAGAAGAUUGUCCACGCUUCAGGAACAAAGCUCACAAUCUGAGACAGAGAGGGACUCUGACUUGGAAGCAACACCAGCAGCUGCUUCAGACACCUCGGAGAGUCAGCUGAGCAGUUACAAUGAUAUUUUAAGCUUUAAGAAUUUAUCAAAGACCCCAGCCUUGCAGUUAGUGCACGAGCUCUUCAUGAGAAACAAAAGAAAAAGAUUCCAGCAAACUGGUGCUCAUGAAUGGUUAGAAGAGAAGGAUGGGGGGCAAAUAGCCAUACUACAGUGUGUCCUUGCAGGACUGAUUGGCAAGAAAAUGGGUAUAGAAAAGCUGGACAUCUUAACAGAAUUAAAAUACAGAAAUUUAAAACAUAUUCUUGCUAUGAUUUUAGGUUCCUUGACUGCAGAAAACCUAUGCAGUGUUUGGAAAGUGAGCAGAAAUUGGCAUGAAAUUAUUGUUCAAGAUAAAAAAGCAAAUCGGAGGAGGAAAUUCUAUAUCUCACAACUGAAAGCAGAUUCUGAGGUAAUGUAUACAAUACUUUUCUCAAAUGGAUUUGUAAAAAUAAUAAUCGCAAAUAGCCAGACAACCAAAUUUGGUUUUCCUGCUAUCUUUUAACCAUUUUUCAUUUAGCAAACAUUCACUCAUGAAUGUUUUACCUCUCCCAAACUCCAUUUCCUUCCAGUCCAUAAGUGAAGUAGACUGCCCAGCAUCAAGAGCAUCCUAGGGUUUGUUGUUGAAGUAUGUGUGCUGUUAGCAGGGUUUGAAUACCAGUGCUCUGCUGGAUCCUAUUCGUAAUUAGAUGUCCUUAUAACAUUUUCUAUCUAGUCUUUUGAGCGGAUACUAUGUGCCAAUUGCUCAGAUUACAAUGGUGAACCUUUCUGAAGUGGUGCCCACUCUCUUGGAGCUCAUGCCCCAUGGGUGAUACAAAUAAGCAGGUGAUUAUAAUACAGGUGUGUUAGGGGCAACCCAGAGUUUUUUCUACCAGAACAUUUUAAAGGGGCAUUUGAUACUUGGGAAUCAAGAGAAGGCUUUUCAGAAGAAGCACAACUCUGCGGAGACCUGAAGGAGGAGUGAGUGGCUUACCGAGUGAAGUUGGGGAGGAGCGUUUCCGCAGCAUCGAGGAAGGCCUGGAAGUGAGCGAGUGUGGCAGACAAGCACUGGUAAAGCAUCAUAAGCUUGUAUUUUCUUGAAGAUUUGAGAACCAGCUUUGAAUUGACAGGAAAAGUUCUGCAGAAGCUGAUUAAUUCUUCCGAGCGACACUACUUUGUGUCCUAGACAUCUCAUAACUCUGGCAACCGUGUGCGCUCUAUAUGAACUUUCAGAUCUUUCUUGGCCAUCAGUAUUAAGAGAAACCACAAGAGUUCACUCUCUUCUCCUUGUUUUAGUAAAAAGCAUUUAAUGACUGUUUCUCUGUACAGAUCCCCGAUUCAUCUCCUAUUAUCCACCAGAACUGGAAAUCUCCUCUGUGUAAGUCCAGACAAAUCAGGUAUUCUUCCUGUUCCUUCCUCUCCCUAGAGACAUCCUUCCUGGUGCACUUUGCCACCCUAUUCUGAUACGGACCGGUUGCUUUCCACAUAAACUAUCUUAAUGUGUAUCAUUGACCCAAACAGAAACAUUACAAGACAAAGUUGUUUGAGGUUUUCCUCAUACUUGUGUAAUGUCUCUGAAAUCUCCUUAUGUAUAAAAGUUAGAAGGCAAACACCAGCUCGGUGUCAUAGGAUCUCAAUUUCAUCUAUUUGCUUUGCAGCCGUAACAAUGAGUGUUAGAAUGGGGAUACGCCUUUUCCACCGAAUUUCUUAAUUUACUGUACUCCUCACUGUUCUCUUAUAACCAUGGAAAGGAACAACCAUACAGGGACUCCACUUUCACAUUUAAAUAUCUUCCUGUAACAUGAUGUGACUUUGAAAAAUUUUCGCCCUCACGAAUAUGUGCCUUGGUUGCCUGCUUUGCCUCCUUUGCUCAGAGAUGGAAGCACACGUUUUAAACUCUAGGAGGCCUGGGUUUAGACUGUUUUAUUCACUGGCACCCUUAGGAGUUCUAUAAAUAUUUGUUAAAUAAAUGAAUAUUCUGUAGCUGAAAUGUGUUUCAACAAUGUAUCUCUAUUCAUUUUGUUGGUUCAUACACAAUCACUGUGUUUACCAACCACAUCGAAAUCCAUCAAAAUUUUGGUAUGCUGUUGUGUCAUGUUCUUGUGUCCUAGGCUGCAAGUUAUUUAUACAAAUGUACUAUAAAGAGAUGUAUGGAGUCCUUGAAAAAGUUCAUUUGUAUUCAUUCCAUUUUUAGAAAACCAAUAUUCAUCCAUUACACUUAUGCCUAUGUUGUUUUAACUGUUAAUCACAGAAUUUUUCACAACCAGCUAAUCUUAUUUCCUAUAUUUAUCAUUCUAUAAUUUCUCUUAUUUUUUCUCACCUUCCUUUUAGGAGCCAAUUGUGGCAAAGGGAAACUAUCAAGGGAGAGGAAGCACAGUUUUAGGUAGACACAUGAGGAAAUUCACUCUCAGUA